AGACCAUAUUGUGGGCAUGAGUUGACAAGAACAUUGAACCGCUCCCAACAUUGGAAGAAUGUUUCAUCUUCCUUUUGGGCAAAGUUCAUGAUUGAUUUUCUAAGGGU